GGGUUGUGAGGUUAAGCGACUAAGCGUACACGGUGGAUGCCCUGGCAGUCAGAGGCGAUGAAGGACGUGCUAAUCUGCGAUAAGCGUCGGUAAGGUGAUAUGAACCGUUAUAACCGGCGAUUUCCGAAUGGGGAAACCCAGUGUGUUUCGACACACUAUCAUUAACUGAAUCCAUAGGUUAAUGAGGCGAACCGGGGGAACUGAAACAUCUAAGUACCCCGAGGAAAAGAAAUCAACCGAGAUUCCCCCAGUAGCGGCGAGCGAACGGGGAGCAGCCCAGAGCCUGAAUCAGUGUGUGUGUUAGUGGAAGCGUCUGGAAAGGCGCGCGAUACAGGGUGACAGCCCCGUACACAAAAAUGCACAUGCUGUGAGCUCGAUGAGUAGGGCGGGACACGUGGUAUCCUGUCUGAAUAUGGGGGGACCAUCCUCCAAGGCUAAAUACUCCUGACUGACCGAUAGUGAACCAGUACCGUGAGGGAAAGGCGAAAAGAACCCCGGCGAGGGGAGUGAAAAAGAACCUGAAACCGUGUACGUACAAGCAGUGGGAGCACGCUUAGGCGUGUGACUGCGUACCUUUUGUAUAAUGGGUCAGCGACUUAUAUUCUGUAGCAAGGUUAACCGAAUAGGGGAGCCGAAGGGAAACCGAGUCUUAACUGGGCGUUAAGUUGCAGGGUAUAGACCCGAAACCCGGUGAUCUAGCCAUGGGCAGGUUGAAGGUUGGGUAACACUAACUGGAGGACCGAACCGACUAAUGUUGAAAAAUUAGCGGAUGACUUGUGGCUGGGGGUGAAAGGCCAAUCAAACCGGGAGAUAGCUGGUUCUCCCCGAAAGCUAUUUAGGUAGCGCCUCGUGAAUUCAUCUCCGGGGGUAGAGCACUGUUUCGGCAAGGGGGUCAUCCCGACUUACCAACCCGAUGCAAACUGCGAAUACCGGAGAAUGUUAUCACGGGAGACACACGGCGGGUGCUAACGUCCGUCGUGAAGAGGGAAACAACCCAGACCGCCAGCUAAGGUCCCAAAGUCAUGGUUAAGUGGGAAACGAUGUGGGAAGGCCCAGACAGCCAGGAUGUUGGCUUAGAAGCAGCCAUCAUUUAAAGAAAGCGUAAUAGCUCACUGGUCGAGUCGGCCUGCGCGGAAGAUGUAACGGGGCUAAACCAUGCACCGAAGCUGCGGCAGCGACGCUUAUGCGUUGUUGGGUAGGGGAGCGUUCUGUAAGCCUGUGAAGGUGUGCUGUGAGGCAUGCUGGAGGUAUCAGAAGUGCGAAUGCUGACAUAAGUAACGAUAAAGCGGGUGAAAAGCCCGCUCGCCGGAAGACCAAGGGUUCCUGUCCAACGUUAAUCGGGGCAGGGUGAGUCGACCCCUAAGGCGAGGCCGAAAGGCGUAGUCGAUGGGAAACAGGUUAAUAUUCCUGUACUUGGUGUUACUGCGAAGGGGGGACGGAGAAGGCUAUGUUGGCCGGGCGACGGUUGUCCCGGUUUAAGCGUGUAGGCUGGUUUUCCAGGCAAAUCCGGAAAAUCAAGGCUGAGGCGUGAUGACGAGGCACUACGGUGCUGAAGCAACAAAUGCCCUGCUUCCAGGAAAAGCCUCUAAGCAUCAGGUAACAUCAAAUCGUACCCCAAACCGACACAGGUGGUCAGGUAGAGAAUACCAAGGCGCUUGAGAGAACUCGGGUGAAGGAACUAGGCAAAAUGGUGCCGUAACUUCGGGAGAAGGCACGCUGAUAUGUAGGUGAAGUCCCUCGCGGAUGGAGCUGAAAUCAGUCGAAGAUACCAGCUGGCUGCAACUGUUUAUUAAAAACACAGCACUGUGCAAACACGAAAGUGGACGUAUACGGUGUGACGCCUGCCCGGUGCCGGAAGGUUAAUUGAUGGGGUCAGCGCAAGCGAAGCUCUUGAUCGAAGCCCCGGUAAACGGCGGCCGUAACUAUAACGGUCCUAAGGUAGCGAAAUUCCUUGUCGGGUAAGUUCCGACCUGCACGAAUGGCGUAAUGAUGGCCAGGCUGUCUCCACCCGAGACUCAGUGAAAUUGAACUCGCUGUGAAGAUGCAGUGUACCCGCGGCAAGACGGAAAGACCCCGUGAACCUUUACUAUAGCUUGACACUGAACAUUGAGCCUUGAUGUGUAGGAUAGGUGGGAGGCUUUGAAGUGUGGACGCCAGUCUGCAUGGAGCCGACCUUGAAAUACCACCCUUUAAUGUUUGAUGUUCUAACGUUGACCCCUAAUCGGGGUUGCGGACAGUGUCUGGUGGGUAGUUUGACUGGGGCGGUCUCCUCCUAAAGAGUAACGGAGGAGCACGAAGGUUGGCUAAUCCUGGUCGGACAUCAGGAGGUUAGUGCAAUGGCAUAAGCCAGCUUGACUGCGAGCGUGACGGCGCGAGCAGGUGCGAAAGCAGGUCAUAGUGAUCCGGUGGUUCUGAAUGGAAGGGCCAUCGCUCAACGGAUAAAAGGUACUCCGGGGAUAACAGGCUGAUACCGCCCAAGAGUUCAUAUCGACGGCGGUGUUUGGCACCUCGAUGUCGGCUCAUCACAUCCUGGGGCUGAAGUAGGUCCCAAGGGUAUGGCUGUUCGCCAUUUAAAGUGGUACGCGAGCUGGGUUUAGAACGUCGUGAGACAGUUCGGUCCCUAUCUGCCGUGGGCGCUGGAGAACUGAGGGGGGCUGCUCCUAGUACGAGAGGACCGGAGUGGACGCAUCACUGGUGUUCGGGUUGUCAUGCCAAUGGCAUUGCCCGGUAGCUAAAUGCGGAAGAGAUAAGUGCUGAAAGCAUCUAAGCACGAAACUUGCCCCGAGAUGAGUUCUCCCUGACUCCUUGAGAGUCCUGAAGGAACGUUGAAGACGACGACGUUGAUAGGCCGGGUGUGUAAGCGCAGCGAUGCGUUGAGCUAACCGGUACUAAUGAACCGUGAGGCUUAACCUUACAACGCCGAAG
rnacentral:rRNA from 1 species